rnacentral:rRNA from 1 species
AACGAACGCUGGCGGCAUGCCUAACACAUGCAAGUCGAACGAGACCUUCGGGUCUAGUGGCGCACGGGUGCGUAACGCGUGGGAACCUGCCCUUAGGUUCGGAAUAACUCCCCGAAAGGGGUGCUAAUACCGGAUAAUGUCUUCGGACCAAAGAUUUAUCGCCUUUGGAUGGGCCCGCGUUGGAUUAGCUAGUUGGUAGGGUAAAAGCCUACCAAGGCGACGAUCCAUAGCUGGUCUGAGAGGAUGAUCAGCCACACUGGGACUGAGACACGGCCCAGACUCCUACGGGAGGCAGCAGUGGGGAACAGUGGAAAAUGGGGGAAAGCAUGAUCCAGCAAUGACGCGUGAGUGAUGAAGGCCUUAGGGUUGUAAAGCUCUUUUACCCGGGAUGAUAAUGACAGUACCGGGAGAAUAAGCUCCGGCUAACUCCGUG